rnacentral:rRNA from 1 species
GCUUGCUCCACCGGAAAAAGAGGAGUGGCGAACGGGUGAGUAACACGUGGGUAACCUGCCCAUCAGAAGGGGAUAACACUUGGAAACAGGUGCUAAUACCGUAUAACAAUCAAAACCGCAUGGUUUUGAUUUGAAAGGCGCUUUCGGGUGUCGCUGAUGGAUGGACCCGCGGUGCAUUAGCUAGUUGGUGAGGUAACGGCUCACCAAGGCCACGAUGCAUAGCCGACCUGAGAGGGUGAUCGGCCACAUUGGGACUGAGACACGGCCCAAACUCCUACGGGAGGCAGCAGUAGGGAAUCUUCGGCAAUGGACGAAAGUCUGACCGAGCAACGCCGCGUGAGUGAAGAAGGUUUUCGGAUCGUAAAACUCUGUUGUUAGAGAAGAACAAGGAUGAGAGUAACUGUUCAUCCCUUGACGGUAUCUAACCAGAAAGCCACGGCUAACUACGUGCCAGCAGCCGCGGUAAUACGUAGGUGGCAAGCGUUGUCCGGAUUUAUUGGGCGUAAAGCGAGCGCAGGCGGUUUCUUAAGUCUGAUGUGAAAGCCCCCGGCUCAACCGGGGAGGGUCAUUGGAAACUGGGAGACUUGAGUGCAGAAGAGGAGAGUGGAAUUCCAUGUGUAGCGGUGAAAUGCGUAGAUAUAUGGAGGAACACCAGUGGCGAAGGCGGCUCUCUGGUCUGUAACUGACGCUGAGGCUCGAAAGCGUGGGGAGCAAACAGGAUUAGAUACCCUGGUAGUCCACGCCGUAAACGAUGAGUGCUAAGUGUUGGAGGGUUUCC